GGCGNAACNGGUGANUAACACGUGACUAAUCUGUCUUCAGGAGAGGGACAACCUGGGGAAACCUGGGCUAAUACCACAUGACACCUCCGUCUCGCAUGGGACGGUGGCCAAAGGGGGCCUCUGCUUGCAAGCUCCUGCCUGAAGAGGAGGUCGCGGCGUAUCAGCUAGUUGGUGAGGUAAUGGCUCACCAAGGCUACGACGCGUAGUGGGUCUGAGAGGACGACCCGCCACAUUGGGACUGAGAUACGGCCCAGACUCCUACGGGAGGCAGCAGUGGGGAAUAUUGCGCAAUGGCCGAAAGGCUGACGCAGCGACGCCGCGUGUGGGAGGAAGCUCUUCGGGGUGUAAACCACUGUCAGGGGGAAGAAACACGGGCGCUCGAAUA
rnacentral:rRNA from 1 species